UCCUUCACCCAGUAACAAACCCGCCAGGAAACGACCAAUCAAACACGGCUCCUGGGAUGUGGAGGAUGGCCUCGAUGAUGCAUUCUCAAGCAGUAUGGAGGUAGAAGAGAUGGACACUGUCUGAGGAUACAGCUCUGAGCCCCCUGCAGCAGGAGGACCACCACCACCUCCCCCCUAGAGGACCUCAUGUCCCCGAGCAGUGACGACUCAGACUAACACAACUGCCAGACACACUGCUGUCCCCACAAAACAACCAAGGCUGCCAAAACAUACUGCUGUCCCCACAAAACAACCAAGGCUGCCAGAACAUACUGCUGUCCCCACAAAACAACCAAGGCUGCCAGACAUACUGCUGUCCCCACAAAACAACCAAGGCUGCCAGAACAUACUGCUGUCCCCACAAACCACCAGCUCUGGACAGGUCAAACAUACUGCUGCCCCCACAAACCACCAGCUCUGGACAGGUCAAACAUACUGCUGCCCCCACAAACCACCAGCUCUGGACAGGUCAAACAUACUGCUGCCCCCACAAACCACCAGCUCUGGACAGGUCAAACAUACUGCUGCCCCCACAAACCACCAGCUCUGGACAGGUCAAACAUACUGCUGCCCCCACAAACCACCAGCUCUGGACAGGUCAAACAUACUGCUGCCCCCACAAACCACCAGCUCUGGACAGGUCAAACAUACUGCUGCCCCCACAAACCACCAGCUCUGGACAGGUCAAACAUACUGCUGUCCCCACAAACCACCAGCUCUGGACAGGUCAAACAUACUGCUGUCCCCACAAACCACCAGCUCUGGACAGGUCAAACAUA